AGAAUCAACGCUGGCGGCGUGCCUAACACAUGCAAGUCGAACGAGAAAGUGGGAGCAAUCCCACGAGUAAAGUGGCGCACGGGUGAGUAACACGUGAAUCAUCUACCUCCGAGUGGGGAAUAACCUAGAGAAAUCUGGGCUAAUACCGCAUAACACUUACGAGUCAAAGCAGCAAUGCGCUUGGAGAGGAGUUCGCGGCAGAUUAGUUAGUUGGCGGGGUAAUGGCCCACCAAGACGAUGAUCUGUA
rnacentral:rRNA from 1 species